UGCUGUCACUUAUAGAUGGAUCCGCGCUGCAUUAGCUAGUUGGUAAGGUAACGGCUUACCAAGGCAACGAUGCAUAGCCGACCUGAGAGGGUGAUCGGCCACACUGGAACUGAGACACGGUCCAGACUCCUACGGGAGGCAGCAGUAGGGAAUCUUCCGCAAUGGGCGAAAGCCUGACGGAGCAACGCCGCGUGAGUGAUGAAGGUCUUCGGAUCGUAAAACUCUGUUAUUAGGGAAGAA
rnacentral:rRNA from 1 species